AAAAUUUGACCUCUCCCCUCCCUUUACCCUACAAUCGAAGAAAAUGAAUUCAAUGAAUGCAAAAUUUAACCCCUCCUCUCGUUUUAUACCCUCGUUCCCUCAGAGGAGCUGGGUCAAUGAAAGCAAAAUUUAACCCCUCCUCUCGUUUUAUACCCUCGAACCCUCAGAGGAGCUGGGUCAAGGAAUAUAUAAUUCAACCCCUCCUCUCGUUUUAUACCCUCGUACCCUCAGAGGAGCUAGGGGUGGGCGGGGCUGACCUAGCGAGCCUGUUCGGCAAGCGACGUCGCAGGAGGCAAAUCUUCGGCGGCGAGGAUCAGUCCAACGCUCAGUCCUUCGGCAACGCUCUCAGCACUGGCGCUGGAAUAUUCGAACCCGACGAUGACACCGACAAUACUGCACGAGAAGAGUGACAUUGAGACGACUUUUAAUGACGGCUAACUCCUUCAAAAAUUUGGCAACGAUUUAUUUUAUAUCAAUCAGUAAUAAUCAGAUAGUUUCUAACAUCCGAAUGAUUAUUCAUCAAUGAAGCCUAAAUUUCAAUUACUAUAGUUUCAUUUCGAGAUCCCGAGAUUUUGAAUCAUGCAAUUACGAUUAUCAAUCAAAGUUAUAUCCAAUAACUACCAUAGUCAAUCAUGGAUCAACUUCAUAGCCAAUCAAUAACGUAUUAGUAAUUAAUUAGGCAUCCCUGAGAGAUUCAAGAACGUGUACCAAAUAGCCGACUCAAAAACUUUGACCUUAUGCCACGAUUUCGACGCCACUCGAUGGCUUGCUCUUGAUUAUUUCGAUCGAAAAAUAGCGUAUGAAAUUUGAGCCGAAUUAUCGCUAAACAAGCGUUGGCAAAUAUUAAAUAAGAAACAUAUUCUUUUAUGCCUUGUAGUAGUAGAAAGAGUAAUUUCUUUGAGAAAACCGUCGUUUUUCAACUGGUUCCUACAAACUUAGACAAAUCCAAGCCAUAUCCUCCUUUAGCAACGAAAUCGAAAACCUCGAUUUCAGAGUAAAAAUCAUUAAGCAAACCUAACCUUUUCAAAUCUUUGACAACGAUCAGAUGGAUAUUGCAUUUUGCCAAAUAAUAUUUUCAAAAGAGAGUAUUCUAUUCAUUUGUCCAGUUACUUUCAAAUAUUUUUAGCAGGUACAGAAUGCUUGUGAAAUCAUUGUUAAAUUACAUAAAAACAUGCCCACUGUAAAAACGGUCUAGACCUCAGCAGACAGGAAACUUUUGAACCUUACAGUCACUAAAACAAAUGGACAUGAAAACGGCAGUUGUACAAUGACGAUUUAUUCAAAGAAAUGGUCAAUAGUUUCCAAUGUAUCGAACGCUUUGCUUGAUAUUUACUCGUUUCUCCCCUUGAUUUUCAAAAUCAAUUUACUUUAGCGAUAAUUAUUGAGUUUAAUAUUAUCCAAACAGCAUCAUACGCCUGUUCCAUUAAUUGAGAAUUUAAAUGUUCAAAGAAAUGCUAUAUCAAACUGACAUGUUUGAGGCAAAUUUGAGGAAAAUUAAACUCCUUCUAAAAUUAUUUUAAAACAGAGUUCGAAUCUUCGUUUAAUACUAAUUUUAAUAUAAGCGUAAUCCUGUUAUAUAUUUCUAUCUUUUGUUGCUUCUAUGUUUAAGCCGCAUGACUAUGUUCUCGAAUGGAAUACAAACUGGGACAAGCUGCA
rnacentral:misc_RNA from 1 species